rnacentral:lncRNA from 1 species
CACCUCUCACUAAAAUUCUCAAUCUCUAUUUCUCCUCUGGUAUAUUUCCAUUGCCUUUCAAACAUGCAACUGUAAUCCCAAUUCUAAAGAAGCCCAUUCUUGACCCUAUCUCCCCAUCCAACUUUCGUCCUAUCUCGCUACUGCCUUUUGCAUCCAAGAUCCUUGAAAAAAUUUGUAUGCGAGAUUGACAGACUUCCUCGAGUCCAACUCUCUGCUUCAG